rnacentral:rRNA from 1 species
UACGAGAGGCCCAAACGUUAUUCGGAAUUACUGGGCUUAAAGAGUUCGUAGGCGGCAUUGCAAGUAGGGUGUGAAAGCCCUCGGCUCAACCGAGGAAUUGCGCUCUAAACUGCAGUGCUUGAGGAACCUAGAGGUGAGCAGAACAGAUGGUGGAGCGGUGAAAUGCGCAGAUAUCGGGAAGAACACCCGUGGCGAAGGCGGCUCUCUGGGACGGUACUGACGCUGAGACGCGAAAGCGUGGGGAGCGAACAGG